AGGAGGAUACAGUGUAUGUGUUUGCUUGUAGCAGUAGCAACCUUUCAUUCUCUUCCUUUAUGCUUUUCAGGAAACAGUACAGAUAUUAAUGAUAACAGGAGCGAUGUUCACUGUGGCAGCAUGGUGGACGAUGCUUCACGAAUCUACAUCAUGCAACAGGAGACUGCAGCCAGUUAAUCGUUUAAUAUAUUCCAGUUGUCUGCAUGCAGCCAUCCAGCCCUCGCCAUCUUCGUAGAGGUCCAGAACUUUCACUCCUAGACUUCUUGGCUCUGUAGCGUCUUAUAUUGUAUGGGAUAUAUCAUUCAUGCAGAGUCAUAUUAUGUAUCCCGUCUCAUGUAUCUCACUGUUGCAUGUUUGUCUGUUUAGUAAGAAAACCGCUCAUAGGUUGUAAAUGAACCCUCACGUACAGUAGAUAUUUGAAUACACACAUCUGUAUUGCUUGCAUUAUAAUACAGGAGAGAACUACAAAUAACUUCCCUUUAGUCUUGCUGAGCCUUAAAACAGUUAGCUAUUGUGAAUGUGUAUGCGCAAAUACACACUCCUAGAUUCACAUAUAACAGUGUGUGUGUCAUUAUGUAGAUUUUGAUACAUAUUAUAUUCAAGUACUGAC